rnacentral:ncRNA from 2 species
CGUUUCCUUGCUGGAGAGAGGCGCCGCCGGCGCCCACCGAAGGAGCAACCCCCGCCGCCGCGGCAGGGCGAAUCUCUCAGGUAAAGAGGACAGCAGGGCAGAU